GUUAUAUUUCAUUUAUUUAAAAACUUAAGGUUCAUUCCACUCACCUCUGGCUGAAGCUCUAUAGACUCUGAAGCAGCUAUCUCACUGCUGAGGUCCUCGGUUCCUCGGGUCCGAACCUACACAGGUGGACUCCAAUGAGGGACCAAUCAUACAUAAACAUAACUCUAAUAAACUCCCCAAAAACCCCCUAAAACAUCAGGA
rnacentral:lncRNA from 1 species